rnacentral:rRNA from 1 species
UACAGAGGGGGCAAGCGUUGUUCGGAAUUACUGGGCGUAAAGGGCGCGUAGGCGGUCGUGCCAAGCCACUUGUGAAAUCUCCGGGCUUAACUCGGAACGGUCAAGUGAUACUGUCGGACUAGAGUACAGAAGGGGCAACUGGAAUUCUCGGUGUAGCGGUGAAAUGCGUAGAUAUCGAGAGGAACACCUGCGGCGAAGGCGGGUUGCUGGGCUGAUACUGACGCUGAGGCGCGAAAGCCAGGGGAGCGAACGGG